CAAAACGAUCUACCAGCAGUUCAGAGUUGGCAUUUUUUGAAGGUAGUUAUUAAGUGUAGCAGUUUUGUACCAAUUUAGCAUGUCCAUCCAGAAGAUUUCUAACUGUUCUACAAAACUUCUUCAGAGACUUAGGAGACGUUAGUAAUUAGUAGUCAGGCAUUAAUUUGUUUUCUUCUAUGUAAUGCCUUUUGGGGCAAAAAGUACCUUUUAUUUAAUGGGAGGAACAAUUGAGUAAAAGCUGUAAGAACAGGCAGAAGAGGAUUCCAGUUAUCAGCAUUGCUGUUUGUCUUGGAACUGCAGAUCUUCCAUAAAAGAAAGUCCGGUUUUGUCAAAGAAACUCCCAUUGUUCGGUAUUCUGCUUGACAUUGAACUGGGCAGGUGUGUCCACAUAAGGUGCAACAGGGAAGGAUUUGCAUGCUGGCUUGCUGAAGUGACAGAAUUGUGCAAAAUAACUGCAGUAAUCUGGCAAGCUUCAGGAAGCAGGUGGAUCUGAGGUAAAUUGUAAAGCAAGAUCACAUCAUUGCGCAGGCUCUGCAAUGGACUUCUGUACAUCUAGUACAAUCCAUCAAGCAGCCACCUAAGAAAGCAUCAAGUAACGUCAAAUGUAACCAUAUCGGACUACUGACUGCAGCCUGUCAUACAAUCCCAACAGAUAUUUGGAUACGUGGGGGAAGAUCUUGAAUUCACGUGAAAGCACCUCUAAGCACUGCCUGAAGUCAUUCAGCACUCAACCUUUGGACCAAGUGCUUCAUGCUGAACUGGCAGCACUACUCCAGGCUCCUCCGCUUGGUGAGUUGCCAUCUGAGAUAGUCUGAGUUAAUUAGUCGUUCUCAGCCUGUGAGAUGUGGCAUAUCCACAGUGGGAGGUUGCUAAUGUUUGGAACUUAAUACUUCGUUGUAUAUUGUUUAUGCUACAGACAUUAAAUGUGUCUAUAUU